UAGUCCACGCCCUAAACGAUGAACACUAGACGUGUGCUGCCUAGCAGUACGUGUCCCAGCGAAAGCGUUAAGUGUUCCACCUGGGGAGUACGUCCGCAAGGAUAAGACUCAAAGGAAUUGACGGGGGCCCGCACAAGCGGAGGAGCAUGUGGUUUAAUUCGAUGAUACGCGAGGAACCUUACCUGGACUAGAAUGCGCGUGACCGUCCCUGAAAGGGGACUUUCCUUCGGGACACAAAGCAAGGUGCUGCAUGGCUGUCGUCAGCUCGUGCCGUGAGGUGUUGGGUUAAGUCCCUCAACGAGCGCAACCCCUAUUCUUAGUUGCCAUCAAGUAAUGUUGGGCACUCUAGGAAAACUGCCUGCGUAAGCAGUGAGGAAGGAGGGGAUGACGUCAAGUCAGCAUGGCCCUUACGUCCAGGGCUACACACAUGCUACAAUGGCUACUACAAUGGGCAGCCACAUGGCAACAUGGAGCUAAUCCCCUAAAAGUAGCCUCA
rnacentral:rRNA from 1 species